rnacentral:rRNA from 1 species
AGUGAACGCUGGCGGUAGGCCUAACACAUGCAAGUCGAACGGCAGCACAGUAAGAGCUUGCUCUUACGGGUGGCGAGUGGCGGACGGGUGAGGAAUACAUCGGAAUCUACUUUUUCGUGGGGGAUAACGUAAGGAAACUUACGCUAAUACCGCAUACGACCUACGGUGAAAGCAGGGGAUCUUCGGACCUUGCGCGAUUGAAUGAGCCGAUGUCGGAUUAGCUAGUUGGCGGGGUAAAGGCCCACCAAGGCGACGAUCCGUAGCUGGUCUGAGAGGAUGAUCAGCCACACUGGAACUGAGACACGGUCCAGACUCCUACGGGAGGCAGCAGUGGGGAAUAUUGGACAAUGGGCGCAAGCCUGAUCCAGCCAUACCGCGUGGGUGAAGAAGGCCUUCGGGUUGUAAAGCCCUUUUGUUGGGAAAGAAAAGCAGCAGGUUAAUACCCCGCUGUUCUGACGGUACCCAAAGAAUAAGCACCGGCUAACUUCGUG